GGGACUAAUAUUGAUGGCUUUUAUUGAUGA
rnacentral:piRNA from 1 species